GUUUAAGAAAGAAGAAGGGUGGUGGUUCCCUCUGAGACACAAAGGUGAACGAGUCCACCAUGGCCUGGAUCCUCUCUUUCCUUGUGCUUGUCAACUAUUUCUCAGGGUUGCAAUCCCAGCCCACAGUGACUCAGCCAGCCUCUGCCUCAGCAUCCUUGGGACAAGGAGCUAAACUGCCCUGCACCGUCAGCGCUAACGUGAACCACGUUUACUGGCAUCAACAGAGAUCAGGAGAAGCCCCUCGCUUCCUACACUGUGAUGGCUGCAGCAACAGGGGGCCAGGGAUCCCAGAUCGAUUCACCGCAUCGCGGUCGGGGAACACCGGCUAUAUGACCAUCACCGACCUGCAAGAGGCUGACGAGGCUGAUUAUUAUUGCAAUGCUUGGUUUGGCAGUGCUAACGUGUUGCACAGUGAUACAGUUGGAUAA